rnacentral:rRNA from 1 species
CCUACGGGUGGCAGCAGUGGGGACUAUUGGGCAAUGGGCGCAAGCCUGACCCAGCAACGCAGCGUGAAGGAAGAAGGCCCUAGGGUUGUAAACUUCUUUUGUCAGGGACGAAACAAAUGACGGUACCUGACGAAUAAGCAACGGCUAACUACGUGCCAGCAGCCGCGGUAAUCCGUAGGUGGCAAGCGUUAUCCGGAUUUACUGGGUGUAAAGUGUGUGUAGGCGGGAGAGCAAGUCAGAUGUGAAAUUCCAGGGCUCAACCCUGGAACUGCAUUUGAAACUGUUUUUCUUGAGUGAAGGAGAGGCAGGCGGAAUGCCGGGUGUAGCGGUGAAAUGCGUAGAUAUACGGAGGAACACCAGUGGCGAAGGCGGCCUGCUGGACAUUAACUGACGCUGAGGCGCGAAAGCGUGGGGAGCAAACAGGAUUAGAUACCCGUGUAGUC